CAAAAUACUGAAAACGCUUAGAAAUAUACAGUUUUUAGUUGGUUAAUGCUGUAUUUCAAGUUUAUUGGAAAGGGCCCCCAUUUUUCUCGAGCCGGCCCCUAGCUCUACGAUGGAUUGCCUAUCUGCACCCCCCAUAUACACAUAUACAUAUACAUAUAUAUAUAUAUAUAUUCGUAUAUAUAGCCAUGGCAGUUCUAGUUCCAGCUGCUUAUCGUUUAUGAGCUCUCUUGUUUUGGGCGCGGUGUGUGUUCCACCGAUAUUCAAUGAACGAAUUUAACUGACGACGACAACGACGACGACGAUGAUGAUGAUGACGAUUGUAUAGGUAUAUAUAUGUAUGUAUAUUUGUGCGAAAGUGUGAUUCAUGGCACGGAUACAGAUACGAAUUGUUAAGAGUCUAUAUACCGUACCGUAUAGUACGGACGUAAAUAUAACUACGUAAAAGGUGCAGCUCAGUCAAGUCUUAUCACUGGAUGGGCGAUUCAUAAGCAUUUACCGGGAAACUUGAGACAUUGACAUUAUGUAGAUACACUUCAAAUGAGUAAACUCUAAACUGCCCACACAUGAA